rnacentral:lncRNA from 1 species
GGAAAAUGUAAUUAUACAAACAAAAUAAUAUUAGUUGUUGGAACUUUUUUAAAACUCAAGAUCUUUGUUGGGCUCAAAACUAAAAAAUUGAUUGCAGUAAGUUGCCUUGCAAUUUUGAGUUUUCUCAACUUUUUGUUUUUUACAGUGUAGAACAAGCAACAUGUAGCUAGUUCAGCAGCAGAAAAUCGCUGUCUAAAUGCAGGAAACCAAAGCAGAACAAGUUUGACAUUAUGCUCAAACUUGUUCUGCACGAGACGGGAGCCCAGGUUAAACGGUGACGCAACUCUCGUGCCUCAUACACCGCACAAACCCGAGAGCUGCCUUUAUUUAUGGGGUUAGAAUCAUGCCAAAACCCCGCACACACGCAAAACGUGUUUUGCUCACACAUAACGAUUCACACGCUCAGUGUGGUUUGCAAAUACAAAACAUCAUUCACAAACUAAUGCAUUUUGCUUCAGAAACAAAUACAGUAUGUUUUACACAAAGUACAAAAAAAAAAUCCUUCAAGUACACAAAACAAUUCUACAAGUACGGAACACGAAAGCUGCGCGUGGAUCGGAAUGCAUUUAAAACACGUUUUGUGUGCGUGUGAAUCGUUAUGCUUGAGCAAAACACGUUUUGCGUGUGUGCGGGGUUUAGGCAUGAUUCUAACUCCAUAUUUAUUUAACACACACCCACAACACACAGCGCACCGCACACCCAACCAACGGACAUGCAAGUCUCGGUAACGGUGGCGGCAACACUAAACACAAUAAACAACACACAAACAAUAAAGACCCCAAACCCGUUAACCCCACUUAACCUAACAGAAACAAAUUGAAAAAAGGCAAUAAACCCCUUUUUCCCAACCGGCAUCACGAAUACCCUGACUCCACGGGGGGUAGGAGUCGCCACAAUAUUUACCAUCUUGUAAACAUGUCAUUGUGCAGUGCAUAACAAUUGCAACAGCAGCAACAACAUUGCUGACAUAUCUGAAGUGGCCGUGUCAAAUAAAAAUAUGCAUAACCUGUAAAAGCACCUGUGCGGCUCACAACACAGUUCCAACAAGGAACUGUGUUGUGAUACGUAGCGAAGACACACGACGUGCAUGAAUGUAGGUGAAACCCCUGAAAAUUCUGUUAGGAAACACCGUAUUUUCCAAAGUGUCGAAAUGCGCAUGUGCACCGUAGUUGGCCCAGCCUCAGACAGAGUCUGACUUACACCCGUGUGUCUUGCUAACAAAGAUACUACAGUGAGCCCAACUCUUGACCCAAAACUCAACAUUGUUGGUUGGACUAAAUUGCAUUGCACAGUUGACAUGAAUACUUAAUGUUUUAUAUUCAAUCAUUUUACUCAGAAAUCAUAAUGAGACCAACAAUUUAAAGUUUUCGUUUUUACAGUGUAUUGCUGUCUGGCAUUCAGAAAUGU